AAUGCUAUUUUCAAAUGCUUUAUAUUGUAUUAGAAAAGGCGCACGCAUUUCGGAUGUGUUUUGUACGUGCAUAACCAUAUAAUUUCAUGUUCAGCAAUGGAUUCUUGUGUUUGUGAAUGACUACUUAUGAUGUACAAUUGUUUUAAUAGAGAGAGGUUCUUACGGUGAGAAUUUGGUUCCGAAACUGGAAAUAUUAAGUUGCAAUUGGGGGCGGUCGUGAGUGUCUAGUCCUCAAAUUUUACAACAAUAUUCUUAGAUGAUAAUGGCUGCAAUUUGGGUAUUCAAAGAGAGAUUUGAGCAAAAGGGACAUAGCUAAGUACAUAGUCAGUACUCGAACCUCCCACCCAUUUGCCUGUUGGUGACUCACCAUCUGAAAUGGUUGAAGAACCAUGGUCAGCUACUCAUGGUGAAGAACUCUUACAAGAUUCUUAGAUCUGCUACGGUACCUGCAACUGCAAAAUAUGGGCAUACUCCAUUUCUUUGGUGAUGUUAGAGAUGGCAAUUUGCCCAACCCUGCCCCGCCCUGACGGGACGGGGCGGGGUGGUACAUAAUUCCCCUCCCUAAACCCGCCCCGUGAUAUUGUUUUUUCGAGUGUUUCUUUGAUGUUAAUUUGAACAUUAUUUGUUUUGAAUUUUUAAAUUUUGAAUUUGUAUUUUAUAAUUUAAUAGUAUAACUCUAACUUUUGAAAAUGCGUAAAAAAAAUAAAAAAUAAAUGAGGCAGUAAACGGAGCAAAAAACUGCCCCGAACCCACCCGCCCCGUUUAAGGCGGGGUGGGGUUGGAGCGAGACGGGGCGGGGCGAACCCACCCCGUUGUCAUCACUAGGUGAUGUAGUAUUUUUCAUUUCCCUUCUUAUAUUUCUCUAUUUUGUAGUGUUUAUUACAAAUUUAUCAAUAUAGAUUAAUCAAUGAAUAAUGCGUUAAUCUUCAAGUUUUUCGUUAAUCCUAUUUUCAAUUGCCUUAUAUUGCACUAGAAAACGUGCACGCACUUUGGACAUGUUCUGCACGUGCAUAACUAUAUAAUUUCAUUUUGAACAAUGGAUUCUCGUGUCUAUAAAUCAUUACUAAGGCUAAUUUUUUUUCAACAAAUAGAUGGGUUCUUUCAGUGAGAAUUUGGUUUGGAAACUGGAAAUAUCAAGCAGCAAUUGAGGUGGCCAUGAAUGUCUAGUCCUCAAACUUUAAAACAAUAUUCUUAGAUGAUAAUGUUGCGAAUUUUGGAAAUGAAAGAGAGAGUCGAGCAAAAGGGACAUAGCUAAGUACAUAGAAAGUCAGCACUCGAACCUGCCAUCCACUCACUCGGCGUUGUUGACUCACCAUCUAAAACGGUUGAAGAACAAUGGUCAGGUACUCAUGAUGAAGAACUCUUGCAAGCUUCUUAGAUCUGCUACUGUACAUAGUAUUACAAAAUAUGAGUAUUUUCCAUUUCUUUGAUGACAAAUAUUUUCAUUUCCUUCUUUUAUUUCUUUGUUUGGUAGUUUUCAUUAGAAAUUUAUCAAAACAUAUUAAUUACUGAAUAUUGUUUAAUCUUCCUCCUUCCUUGAAUGCUAUUUUCAAAUACUUUAUAUUGUAUUACAAAAGGUGCACACAUUUCUGAGGUGUUUUGUACGUGCAUAACAAUAUAAUUUCAUCUUGAGAAACAUAUUCUCGUGUUUAUGACUCACUAUUUUAUUAAUCACAAUUGUUUUCAACAAAAAGAGUAGUUUGUACUGUGAGAAUUUGGUUUGGAAACUGAAAAUAAUAAUCUGCAAUUGGGACAUGAAUGUCUAGUCCUCAAACUUUACAACAAUGUUCUUAGAUGAUAACGAUGACAAUUUGGCUAUUGAAGUCGAGCAAAAGGGGGACAUAGGUAAGUACAUACUCAGUACUUGAACCUCCUACCCAUUUGCUUGGCGCACCAUCUAAAACGAUUGAAGAACAAUGGUGUGGUACUCAUGAUGAAGAUUUCUUUGACAUCCUAAUAUUUUUUCAUUUCCUUUUUUGUAGUUCUUUGUUUGGUAGUAUUUGUUACAAAUUUAUAAAAGAGAUUGAUUAAUGAAUACUGUGUUAAUCUUCCUUCUUUCCGUGAAUGCUUUAUAUUGUACUAGAAAAGGUUCACAUAUUUCCAACAUGUUUAGCAGUUACAUAGCUAUAUAAUUUCAUCAUGAGAAACGGAUUAUCGUGUCUAUGAAUCACUAUGUUAUGAGGUACAAUUGUUUUCAACUAAAACAGAGUUUUGACAGUGAGAAUUUGGUUUGGAACUCUAAAUAUUAAUCUGCAAUUUGGGCCAUGCUUGUCUAAUUCUCAAACUUUAAAACAAUAUUUUUAGAUGACAACGAUGGCAAUUUGGAUAUUGAAGGAGAGAGCUGAGCAAAAGGGACAAAGCUAAGUACAUAGAGAGUGAGUACUUGAACCUCUGACCCAUUUGCUUGGCGUUGUUGUCUCACUAUCUGAUAUGGUUGAAAAGCAAUGGUCAGUUACUCAUGGUGGAAAACUCUUGCAAGCUACUUAGAUCUGCUACUGUACCUAUAACUGCAAAAUGCAGUAUUUUCCAUUUCUUUGAUGACAGUAUUUUUCAUUACCUUUCUUGUAUUUUUUUUUUUUUUUAAAAUUUGGUAGCUAGUAUUUAUUACAAAUUUAUCAAAAAGAUUAAAAUCUUCUUCAUUUCCUUGAAUUGUAUUUUCAAAUGCUUUAUAUUGUACUAGAAAAUGCACACGAAUUUAGGAUGUGUCCUGCACGUGCCUAGCAAUAUAAUUUCAUCUUGAACAAUGGAUUAUAAGAAUCAUUAUGUUAUGAGGCUCAAUCAUUUUCAACAAAUAGACAGGUUCUUACAGCGAGAAUUUAAUUUGGAAACUGGAAAUACGAAGCUGCAAUUGGGGCGGCCAUGCACGUCUAGUCUUCAAAGUUUACAACAAAAUUUUUAGAUGAUAAUGGUGGAAAUUUGGGCAUUGAAGGAGAGAGUCGAGCAAAAAGGGACAUAGUUAAGUACAUAGGAGUGAGAACUCGAACCUUCCUUUCCCCCUCAUUCCCUCAGCGUUGUUGAUUCACCAUCUGAAAUGGUUGAAGAACAACGGUGAGGUGCUCAUGAUGAAGAACUCUUACAAGUUACAAGCUUCUUAGUUCUGGUACUGUACCCAUUACUGCAAAAUAUGGGUAUUUUCCAUUUCCUUGAUGACAUAGUAUUUUUUUAUUUCUUUAUUAAGUAGUAUUUGUUACAAAUUU
rnacentral:lncRNA from 1 species